GUGCCAGCCGCCGCGGUAAUACGUAGGUGGCAAGCGUUGUCCGGAUUUAUUGGGCGUAAAGGGUGCGCAGGCGGUUUUUUAAGUCUGAUGUGAAAUCCCACGGCUUAACCGGGGAGGGUCAUUGGAAACUGGGUGACUUGAGUGCAGAAGAGGAAAGUGGAAUUCCAAGUGUAGCGGUGAAAUGCGUAGAGAUUUGGAGGAAUACCAGUGGGGAAGGCGGCUUUCUGGUCUGCAACUGACGCUGAGGCAGGAAAGCAUGGGGAGCAAACAGGAUUAGAUACCCUGGUAGUCCAUGCCGUAAACGAUGAGUGCUAGGUGUAAGAGGGUU
rnacentral:rRNA from 1 species